rnacentral:rRNA from 1 species
AUUGAACGCUGGCGGCAGGCUUAACACAUGCAAGUCGAGCGGAGCGAGGGUGCUUGCACCUUAGCUUAGCGGCGGACGGGUGAGUAAUGCUUAGGAAUCUGCCUAUUAGUGGGGGACAACAUUCCGAAAGGGAUGCUAAUACCGCAUACGCCCUACGGGGGAAAGCAGGGGAUCUUCGGACCUUGCGCUAAUAGAUGAGCCUAAGUCGGAUUAGCUAGUUGGUGGGGUAAAGGCCUACCAAGGCGACGAUCUGUAGCGGGUCUGAGAGGAUGAUCCGCCACACUGGGACUGAGACACGGCCCAGACUCCUACGGGAGGCAGCAGUGGGGAAUAUUGGACAAUGGGGGGAACCCUGAUCCAGCCAUGCCGCGUGUGUGAAGAAGGCCUUUUGGUUGUAAAGCACUUUAAGCGAGGAGGAGGCGCUCUAGGAU